rnacentral:rRNA from 1 species
CAGUCGCCGCGGUAAUACGUAGGGUGCAAGCGUUAAUCGGAAUUACUGGGCGUAAAGCGUGCGCAGGCGGUUAUAUAAGUCAGGUGUGAAAUCCCCGGGCUCAACCUGGGAACUGCAUUUGAGACUGUAUGGCUAGAGUGUGUCAGAGGGGGGUAGAAUUCCACGUGUAGCAGUGAAAUGCGUAGAUAUGUGGAGGAAUACCGAUGGCGAAGGCAGCCCCCUGGGAUAACACUGCCGCUCAUGCACGAAAGCGUGGGGAGCAAACAGGAUUAGAUACCCGGGUAGUCCCUGUCUCUUAUAC